CAUGCAAGUCGAGCGGUAACAGGCAUUUUGAUUCAGCUUGCUGAAUCUCGCGCUGACGAGCGGCGGACGGGUGAGUAACGCGUAGGAAUCUACCUAGUAGAAGGGGAUAGCCCGGGGAAACUCGGAUUAAUACCGUAUACGUCCUUAGGGAGAAAGAGGGCUUAGCUUUGAUGCUCUCGCUAUUAGAUGAGCCUGCGUAAGAUUAGCUUGUUGGUGAGGUAAAGGCUCACCAAGGCUACGAUCUUUAGCUGGUCUGAGAGGACGAUCAGCCACAUUGGGACUGAGACACGGCCCAGACUCCUACGGGAGGCAGCAGUGGGGAAUAUUGGACAAUGGGCGCAAGCCUGAUCCAGCCAUACCGCGUGUGUGAAGAAGGCCUUCGGGUUGUAAAGCACUUUAAGUAAGGAAGAAAAGUAAAUUGUUAAUACCAAUGUACCGUGACAUUACUUACAGAAUAAGGACCGGCUAAUUCCGUGCCAGCAGCCGCGGUAAUACGGAAGGUCCAAGCGUUAAUCGGAAUUACUGGGCGUAAAGCGCGCGUAGGUGGUUUAUUAAGUUGGGUGUGAAAGCCCCGGGCUCAACCUGGGAACUGCAUCCAAA
rnacentral:rRNA from 1 species